UGUUUUUACAUUACACAGCAUA
rnacentral:miRNA from 1 species